rnacentral:rRNA from 1 species
GACAGAGGCCUCAAGCGUUAGGCGGAAUCACUGGGCUUAAAGCGUGUGUAGGCGGAUCGUUAAGUGUCUUGUGAAAUCCCACGGCUCACCCGUGGAACUGCUGGGCAUACUGGCGAUCUUGGGCCAACUAGGGGCAGCCGGAACAAGCGGUGGAGCGGUGAAGUGCGUAGAUAUCGCUUGGAACGCCGAAGGUGAAAACAGGCUGCUGGGGUUGUGCCGACGCUGAGACACGAAAGCCAGGGGAGCAAACGGG